rnacentral:lncRNA from 1 species
GCAGCCAGGCUGCCCACAGGCCCUGGGCGGUGGGGGCCGGCCCUGUGCCUUGGGCAGCCUGGCCCUUGCUGAGGCGUGCUUGCGCGUGUCCGUUGUCGCCCUCACCCAGCUGCUGCGGCGGAGAGACGGAGGCCAGCGCGGGGAGCGGAAGCCGGAGCCUGUCGGGAGCGACCCCGGGAAGGCCAGUCCUCCUGCCGGAGGGAGGCGUGUUGGCGUGCGGCCGGUGGCGGGAUCGAUGGCCACCUGGUAGGCGAUGCUGCUGCGGCGGAGAGACGGAGGCCAGCGCGGGGAGCGGAAGCCGGAGCCUGUCGGGAGCGACCCCGGGAAGGCCAGUCCCUCCUGCCGGAGGGAGGCGUGUUGGCGUGCGGCCGGUGGCGGGAUCGAUGGCCACCUGGUAGGCGAUGCUGCUGCGGCGGAGAAACGGAGGCCAGCGCGGGGAGCGGAAGCCGGAGCCUGUCGGGAGCGACCCCGGGAAGGCCAGUCCCUCCUGCCGGAGGGAGGCGUGUUGGCGUGCGGCCGGUGGCGGGAUCGAUGGCCACCUGGUAGGCGAUGCUGCUGCGGCGGAGAAACGGAGGCCAGCGCGGGGAGCGGAAGCCGGAGCCUGUCGGGAGCGACCCCGGGAAGGCCAGUCCCCUGCCCGUGUUGGCGUGCGGCCGGUGGCGGGAUCGAUGGCCACCUGGUAGGCGAUGGUAAGCGGCAGUGGCCUGCGCCAAGGUAGCCCCCGGGGGGCGGUGUGUGGCGCGCCGGACCCGCACCCUCUGCUCCCGGGGGUGGAGCUGACCUGCUUGCCC